rnacentral:rRNA from 1 species
UACAGAGGUCCCGAGCGUUGUUCGGAUUUAUUGGGCGUAAAAGGUGCGUAGGUGGCAAAGUAAGUUGGAUGUGAAAUCCUGGGGCUCAACCUCAGAAUUGCAUUCAAUACUGCUUAGCUAGAGAGCUGUAGAGGAGACUGGAAUUUACGGUGUAGCAGUGAAAUGCGUAGAUAUCGUAAGGAACGCCAGUGGCGAAAGCGAGUCUCUGGGCAGCAUCUGACACUGAGGCACGAAGGCCAGGGGAGCAAACGGG